AACGGGAAGUGACGCCAUGUGACGCCAUAUGACGCCGUUUUAAACGAAGAGCAGCGUGCUGAAAUACAUAUUUAAGAUGCAAAAUUCAAGGUAAAAAACCCUUCAUUUGGCUUUAUUAACUAACAACCUGUUUUAAACAAGUGAUUUGAAUGUUUACUUAAGAUAGUAUACUCAGAAAAAUACUCACGCUCAGUGCACAAGACUUGGUCAGCACAAAAGAAAUGAAGUCAAGCGAAUGCAAGCAUGCUAGCUACAGAAAAUGGAAGUUUGAAUAAGCGAUUAUUCACAAGAUUCACUAUCACAUUUGAAUAACAUCUAAUAAUAGUUCUACUUUCACUUUUGCUUUUAGUAACAGAGGUUGCAAAACCGAAGCGAGUAAUUUACGUAUGUGGCAUGGAUAUGAAUUAAAACUUUUCGUGUGUUACCAGGAUUACAGCUAACUGGCUAUGCUUAAGCUUUUGAUCAUGAUUAUCCACUUUAGCAUUCUGAAAUGAAGCACAAUCUAAUACCUGCUGCAGUUUUGAGUAAUUAAUGUGAUUAAAUCUUAAGUCAGAACAAAAGAAAACACCAUGGAUUUGAGAUGAUAGCAUUAGUACUAGCUCUGAUUUACAUAUAAAGUAACCUGCUUGUGAAGUUUUGUCCCAGAUCUGGAUAUGGAAGUCCAAUCAGUAAAUGUGAACCUGUGGCUGCAUAAAAUCUCAUGUAUGGUAUUAAACAUCUGAUGGAGAGAUUAUAACUAAAGUAUACCUUUUAUGUUUUUGCCACUAGUUUCUAUCUUUACAUUUUAGAUUAAUACUGACUGUCCACUUUGUGCCCUACAAAAUCCCAUAAUCAGUUCAGCUUUUGUUCCCUGGUAAUAUUUUAUAUGCUACAUCUUUAAUGCUUCAGGGAAACCUCACACUUCAUCAGCAUUUAACAUCUUAACAGCAUUUUCUGUGAUUUAACAGAGCUUUCGAUCCCAAGCGACGGUGCAAACAUAGGACACCCAAUGUUGAGAGUAAAACGUCCUUUUUAUGUUCUUUUACAACUUUCAUUGCAGUGCAACUUUUUCAGGAAUUGUUGUCUGCUAGCAUGCAAAAUAAAUCUAUGCCCUCAUUUCUCAUUUUUCCAAAUUUAGAUCCAAAAUCAGACAAUUCUGCAUGGUAAUCUUUAAAUUUAACAUCUCCUUAUUUUGAAAGCAGAAAGGAUUUAUUAAAAAUUCUGACAUUGCUAACUUUUAACAUUGACACAAUCUCUUUCAGUUCUCAUUCCAAUUCAGGGCUGCCAGAAGUGCUCAUGCUGAUGAUAGGAGCUAUGCAUUCUUAUAUAAGGGCCGGUGGUCAUCUUGGCUCAUCCCAGUUGACCAACACAUGUGUCCUAGAUUCAAUCUUGGCUGCUUUACAUAUUUGCUACAUCAAAUACCCAAACAUAAAAUCACUUUUACAGUCCCACACCCCAUUCUCUGAAAUCAUGAAUUAUUUAAAUGGUGAAAGUUACAAUGAUGGAAAGUUUCUUUGGCUAAAGAAGCUAAACAGGUUUGCACUAAAGGAACAAAUGAAUAUUGCUGGGACUGUAAAAGACCAUUUGCCCAUGUUUGAUGAACUGGUCUGUGCUAAAAUCGAUUAUCGUCAAGAAACCCCAACACACAGUCCAAUAUAUGAAACAACACUGAGCAAAUUUAGGGCCUUUGGUAACGUGAUGGCUUUGGGUGAAGAGUCAAAUCCUCCUCUCAUUCUAGUGGAUUAGGAUGCUGGGGUUGACCAUAAACUUCUCAAUCUUCCUGUAUGCCCUGUGACAGAUGGCCUUAACAGGAGGUUUGAGCUGGAUUUUCUGCUCCUUGGUAGAGACGGCCACAUGGUCAUGUGCUUCAGCUUCUUUAAGGACAUGUGGUUUCUCUUCGAUGAUGACCCAGCAAGGCCUGCCUUUCGGAUUUUUAACUAUAAGAAUGACCUUAAAGAUUACAUAAUCUACUUGGCUGGAUAUGUCAAUAAAACAGAGGCAAAUGAGUAUGACCAUAGUGUUCCUGAGACUGGAGUAGGAACAAAACCUUUUAAUUUAGGAACAACACGACAGCAAGAGAAUUGUUCUGUAGAUCCUGUGGAAGGCCUGUUAGCAGGGUUCAGUAAUCUACAAUGUACUGGGGUCAGAGGUCUAAUGUGUGACAGCUUUGACUCUGAAUAAAUGACUGAAUAAAUCUGAUGUCUAUAAUAGACCCUGUGGAUUAAACACACCUCAGUUGGAGACAGAGUUCUCCAAUAGGUGCUGCUAUGGCUAAUAUGGACUAGUAGAUAAAGGUCCAGUAUUGAGUGUGUAUUUCAUCAGACCCAGAAUUACAGCUGGCCUAAGUUCACAUAGUGUCAUUGGCCUCUGGAAUGGGCUGCAGAUUCAGCCUUUAUAAAGCUCCUUUAUAAAACUUUGUUUUUAGAAUAAGCCAUUGAUGAUAUCCAAUUGAUUGAUAUAAACUGGAUAUAAACUUGAUUAUGUCUUUUAUUAUGGAGUUUCAAUCAAAGAUCCUUGAAGUUUUCAGGCUCUUGGGGAGUAAAAACAAGUUUUACCUACUAAAAGGUUCAUUAAGACAACAUAUUCUUUUUGUUUGAAAAAUUACUUUUAUCAGAUACUAUUAUCAGAUUACACAGUAAAGCUUGUAUCUGAAUAUAUUUCAAACAGAUCAUUACAUUUUGGGUUUAUUUUCACGUUAACAUAUCACUAGACUGAUGAAUAUCUGACUGUUCUGUGUGGAAGCAUCCUUGCUAUCCUUGCAUAUAAUAUUUUUCCCUAUACAGUAAGCAGUCAAGAUGACAAAGAGGAAUUUUGAAUUUUAGGUCACUCAUUUUAAUUUCAGUGUUAAAGUCCUACUAGGUCCAAUAUGAAUGUAGUUACCAAGGUUCAUUAACAUGAUUUUGUUAACUUUAUUUGGAAUUGAAAGUUUACAUCUAUUGCUUGCUCAAAUAUGAAAAUGAGUAAUACAAAUGGGUAAACAUAUGUAAAUGGGUAAACAACUGUAUAAUAUUAAGUGUGGUUGUCCAAACUGUCCAGUUAA